AGAGUUUGAUCCUGGCUCAGGACGAACGCUGGCGGCGUGCCUAAUACAUGCAAGUAGAACGCUGAAGAGAGGAGCUUGCUCUUCUUGGAUGAGUUGCGAACGGGUGAGUAACGCGUAGGUAACCUGCCUUGUAGCGGGGGAUAACUAUUGGAAACGAUAGCUAAUACCGCAUAACAAUGGAUGACACAUGUCAUUUAUUUGAAAGGGGCAAUUGUUCCACUACAAGAUGGACCUGCGUUGUAUUAGCUAGUAGGUGAGGUAAUGGCUCACCUAGGCGACGAUACAUAGCCGACCUGAGAGGGUGAUCGGCCACACUGGGACUGAGACACGGCCCAGACUCCUACGGGAGGCAGCAGUAGGGAAUCUUCGGCAAUGGGGGCAACCCUGACCGAGCAACGCCGCGUGAGUGAAGAAGGUUUUCGGAUCGUAAAGCUCUGUUGUAAGUCAAGAACGGGUGUGAGAGUGGAAAGUUCACACUGUGACGGUAGCUUACCAGAAAGGGACGGCUAACUACGUGCCAGCAGCCGCGGUAAUACGUAGGUCCCGAGCGUUGUCCGGAUUUAUUGGGCGUAAAGCGAGCGCAGGCGGUUUGAUAAGUCUGAAGUUAAAGGCUGUGGCUCAACCAUAGUUCGCUUUGGAAACUGUCAAACUUGAGUGCAGAAGGGGAGAGUGGAAUUCCAUGUGUAGCGGUGAAAUGCGUAGAUAUAUGGAGGAACACCGGUGGCGAAAGCGGCUCUCUGGUCUGUAACUGACGCUGAGGCUCGAAAGCGUGGGGAGCGAACAGGAUUAGAUACCCUGGUAGUCCACGCCGUAAACGAUGAGUGCUAGGUGUUGGAUCCUUUCCGGGAUUCAGUGCCGCAGCUAACGCAUUAAGCACUCCGCCUGGGGAGUACGACCGCAAGGUUGAAACUCAAAGGAAUUGACGGGGGCCCGCACAAGCGGUGGAGCAUGUGGUUUAAUUCGAAGCAACGCGAAGAACCUUACCAGGUCUUGACAUCCUUUGACCACCUAAGAGAUUAGGCUUUCCCUUCGGGGACAAAGUGACAGGUGGUGCAUGGCUGUCGUCAGCUCGUGUCGUGAGAUGUUGGGUUAAGUCCCGCAACGAGCGCAACCCUUGUUGUCAGUUGCCAGCAUUAAGUUGGGCACUCUGGCGAGACUGCCGGUGACAAACCGGAGGAAGGUGGGGACGACGUCAAGUCAUCAUGCCCCUUAUGACCUGGGCUACACACGUGCUACAAUGGACGGUACAACGAGUCGCAAGACCGCGAGGUUUAGCUAAUCUCUUAAAGCCGUUCUCAGUUCGGAUUGUAGGCUGCAACUCGCCUACAUGAAGUCGGAAUCGCUAGUAAUCGCGAAUCAGCAUGUCGCGGUGAAUACGUUCCCGGGCCUUGUACACACCGCCCGUCACACCAUGAGAGUUUGUAACACCCAAAGCCGGUGGGGUAACCGCAAGGAGCCAGCCGUCUAAGGUGGGACAGAUGAUUGGGGUGAAGUCGUAACAAGGUAGCCGUAGGAGAACCUGCGGCUG
rnacentral:rRNA from 1 species